GGAAGGGCCAUCGCUCAACGGAUAAAAGCUACCCUGGGGAUAACAGGCUUAUCUCCCCCAAGAGUCCACAUCGACGGGGAGGUUUGGCACCUCGAUGUCGGCUCAUCACAGCCUGGGGCUGUAGUAGGUCCCAAGGGUUGGGCUGUUCGCCCAUUAAAGUGGUACGCGAGCUGGGUUCAGAACGUCGUGAGACAGUUCGGUCCCUAUCCGUCGCAGGCGUAGGAAAUUUGAGAAGACC
rnacentral:rRNA from 1 species